AUGCUAAUUUAAUCUUCUUUUUGCCCUUUUGUGCGUAGAGAAAUGAAUUUUAUCGAGAAGAGUAGAUUUUUCUAUGAAUUUCUUUCUAUUUUUUUGAAUUUUGAAGAGGGGUCAAAUUUUCUCUCUCCUUUGAUAAAGAAUAUAGGUAUAAAGAUUGUGCAAAGCCAAAACUAGAUUUACUGGAAAAAGCUUAUUGCUAUAUUUGAAAUUUUCUUUCUUCUCAUUUCAUGAAGGGUCACGGUUGUAUCCACUUCAAUAUUCGUCCAUCAAUACAUAUCUCAAAGCGAAAUAAAGAUGAUCCAAUGGUCGCGGGCAUGGAUCUCAACUUUUUUCUUUUCUUUCUUUUGACUUUUCGUUUGUUUUUGUUUCUUUUGAUUUUUGGUUUUUUUUUAAAUUAGUGGGGGGGAAUAUAUUUUUUUUUGUUUUAUUGUGUGUGCGUGCUUUGUUGGUAAGAUUUUUUCGCUUGCCUUUAGGAAGCUGAAAUGUUUGGACGGAAGUAUGCCAAGUGAACGAGGUCUCUGCUUUGCUUGCCAUUGACUUUACCCGGCUCAUCGUUUCCGCGAACGAGAUAGGAAGGAAGCGAGAAGGAAAGCCAAAGCCCUCUUCCUUGUUUGCCUUGUCUUAUCCGAGCAGAGCAAGGAGGAAACCGAGGUUGUGCGAUGGCGAGCGCUUUCCUCUCUUCCAUCCUAUCAAAAACCAGCCAAGUACUGGGCUUUGCUCAGAGAUCGGCAGUCUCGCUGUCUUCAUCAUCGGAUCCAUGCAGCAGUGUCCUGAAAGAUCUGGAGAAAAUGGAGAGAACAUUGAAGAGGAUCCAGGCAGUGCUCCAUGACGCGGAGGAGAGGGAGAUACGAGACGAAUCCGUCAAGCUCUGGCUGAAGGAGCUUAAAGAAGUGGCUUAUGAUGCAGAUGACGUGCUGGACGAGUACGAGUACGAGUUACUGCGAGCCCAAGUGGAAGGCCGAGCUUCCCGCGAGAGGAAGCGAGUGGAAGGGGACGACGAGGUUUCAACUCCGGACGGCAUGGGGGAUAGAAUCAGGGACAUCAAGGAGAGGUUCGAUGAGAUCUCGCAGGAUCGGGAACGCCUCCGUUUAAGAGAGGAAGAUGGAGAGAGACGGGUCCUCAAAGCUCCGUACCCAGCAUCAACCAGCCACAUGGUGGAGGAGUCGGGUAUUUAUGGAAGGGAACGCGACAAGCAGGAGGUAAUUGAUUUGCUGUUCUCCGAGGGUGUGGGAAAUGGUAUCUCCGUCAUUUCGAUUGUCGGCAAGGGGGGACUGGGAAAAACCACCAUCGCCCAGCUGGUCUACAGCAACUCCAAGGUAAAAGAAUAUUUCGAUCUAACCGGAUGGGUUUGCGUAUCCGAUGAUUUCGAUGUUCCAAGGCUAACAAAGGCCAUCCUUGAGUCUAUUACUCAAAGUUCAUGUGAUCUUACACAACUAAGCACACUUCAAGAUUCUCUCAAGAAAAGCCUGAAGGGUAAGAGAGUGUUACUCGUGCUCGACGAUGUCUGGAAUGAUCAGCAAAGCCAUUGGGAGUCGUUAAGAAACCCCUUCGUUGGCGCAGAAACCGUAAAAAUUAUUGUGACUUGUAGGAAUUAUUCUGUCGCUGAGAUCAUGCAGACAAUGCGUCCUUAUCAUCCUGGCUGCUUGUCUCCAGAGCAGUCUUGGUCAUUAUUCAGACAUUAUGCAUUCGGUAGUCAAGACCCUGAAAAACAACCACACUUGGCGGAUAUCGGUAAGCAGAUUGUCAAGAAGUGUUCUGGUUUACCAUUGGCUGUGAAAUCAAUAGGAAGCCUUCUAAGACACAUGGCAGUUAAAGAUGACUGGAUGGAUGUCAUGCAAAAUGAUGUAUGGGAAAUCGAAGAGAAUAAUGAGAUUUUUCCAGCUCUUAGAUUAAGCUAUAGCCGCAUGCCAGCACGUCUAAAACCUUGUUUCGUUUAUUGUUCCAUGUUUCCCAAGGAUUAUGCGUUUGAGAAAGAUGAAUUAGUCCGAUUGUGGAUGGCGCAAGGUUACAUCGAGACAUCUGGAGGUAAAAGAAGAAUGGACGACACUGGCAAUGAAUACUUCAAUGACUUGCAAAGAAGAUCAUUCUUUGAUUCCUAUCGGUCUAAGUUUAAGAUGCAUGAUAUGAUACAUGAUUUAGCGAAAUCUAUUGCAGGAAAUGAGUGCUGGGCAAUUGUGGAUAAGAAGCUACCUAGUCUCCCCAAUGAGGUUCGCCAUUUAUAUAUUGGGAAAUCACUGCGCUGCUAUAAUUUUAGCGCCUUACGGACGUUGUUAUUACAACAUCGGUAUGGAGAUCGAAGAGUAAUCCCUGAAAUAAUCAAGAAUCUGCCGCUACUAAGAUGUUUACGGACUCUACAGUUUUUUUGGGAAAGGAAAGAUGAGAUACCAGAUUUAUUUGGGAAUCUGAAGCACUUGCGCUACUUAUGUAUCACAUCCUACGAAAUUGAGAAGCUCCCUGAAUCAAUAUGCCUCCUUUAUCACCUACAGAUAUUGGUACUUGAUUGCGAGAAUCUUGCAAAGUUACCAGAUGGCCUAGGCAACCUUACUAACCUCCACCACUUACAAAUUGCGAACAAGGUAAUUCUUAGCCUGCCAGCUGGGAUCGGAAAACUAACAAAUCUUCAGAGCUUGCUUGGAUGUUAUAUAGUGCAGGGUGGGAUAGGAGGAGCGCUGAAGGGCUUGGCGAACCUCCGAACUCUCAUUAUCUCAGGGCUCAGGAACAUGGUCAACAUAGAGAAUGCUAGAAAUGCCGGUCUUAAACAUAAGCAUAAAUUUGAGCAGUUGGUUCUACAUUGGAAUGCGGUCAACGAAAAAUGUGCUUUGCAUGGUAUUGGACACUACAGAAUACUACAUCUAGAAGCGGAAAAUAAGGAUGUCCUGGCCGAUGAAAAAAGAGAGGAAGCGAUGCUUGAGUAUCUUCAACCUCACUCCAACCUCAAAAUUUUGUCUAUACAAGGGUAUGGUGGUUGCAAGUUUCCUGAAUGGGUUGGAGAUCCUUUCUCCUUUGCAUCACUUCAAAGAAUCCGUAUAUUUAAUUGUGAAAAAAUAAAUUCUCUUCCUCUAUACAUUCAUGACUCUCUUGGAAAUUUGGACGAACCCAUAUCAACAUCCAUGCUUGAGAGGGUGUAUAUUUCUGGUUGCCGGCAACUCACAUCCAUAGCAGGGCUGCAUCAUCUCCACUUGCUUAAAUAUCUGAAGAUAUAUAAUUGUCCUCAACUCCGGCUCUUAUCAGAACAAGGACUGCCAUCCAAUGUUCGAUAUUUGCAUAUUGCGAAGUGCCAGCAAUUGACAUCACUGUCAGGCAUGCAAAACCUUACUUAUCUCAAAGAAUUAAUUAUACAAAAUUGUCCUAAACUUCAGAUUAUGGUAGAAGAUCAGCUCUCAUCUAUGCCUCAUAGAGUGGAAAUUAUUGAUUGCCCUGGAUUGAGUAACUGGUGCCAAAUACAAAGAAUCAAUUGCAUUCAGGUCGCUUCAGGUAACAAGCUGACUAUAUCGAACACAUGGGAGAAGAUAAUGCAUGGGUUUGAUGAUUUGAUAUCCGUUGAGCAUCUUUAUUUCAGUAACUAUUGGAAAUUCCUUAGGCCGACACAGAAGAAUAUAAUGCAAAGGUUUGAUAAGUCACAAUCCAUUGAGGAUCUUUAUUUCGGUGAUUCUUGGGAACCCUUUCGGCGAAGAGCCUCCAUAUCCAAACUUGAAGAGCUGACCAUAUGGGGUUGCACGAAAUUUUCACCACUACGGUGCCUGCCCCAGCUCAGAUCUAUUCGAAGCUUGGUUAUAAAGGACUGUCCUGGAGUUCGAGUCCUGCCAUCAUAUCUACUACUAUCCACGCUCAAGUCCUUGGUGGUUGAUAGUUGUGAGGACCUAAUAUUUUUGCGAUUGGCGCAGCCGAGCCGAUAUACAUUUGAGGAGUUGCAGCUUGUUAGUUGCCCUAAACUCGAACGGGUAGAAGGGCUGAAUUGUCGUUUUCUCGCAAACAUAUUAAGAAUAGAACGAUGCCCUCAACUUCGGCUUCCACAAGAUGAUCUGCCCCAUCUCAUAUCUAUUCGAAGCUUGGUGAUAAAGGACUGUCCUGGAGUCCGAGUCUUGCAAGAUAGACUGCUCCCAUCCACGCUCAAGUCCUUGGUGGUUGAUAGUUGUGAGGACCUAACAUUGUUGCGGUUGAAGCAUCAGAAUCGAUAUGUAUUUGAGGAGCUGCAACUUGUGAAUUGCCCUAAGCUCGAAUGGGUAGAAGGGUUGAAUUGUCGUUUCCUCGCAAAAAUCUUAAGAAUAGAACGAUGCCCUCGACUCCGGCUUCCACAAGAUGUUCGGCAGCCAUCUAUUCCUCCACGUGUUAAAUGUCAGUUCUCAUCUAUGCCAUACAGAGUGAAAAUUGUUGAUUGCCCUGGAUUGAGUCACUGGUGCCAAAUACAAAGAAUCAACUGCAUUCAGGUCGCUUCAGGCACCAAGCUGACUAUAUCGAACACAUGGGAGAAAAUAAUGCAUGGGUUUGAUGAUUUGACAUCCAUUGAGUAUCUUUGUUUCAGUAAUUCUUGGAAACUCUUUCUACGAAGAGACUCCAUACCCGUUCUUGAAGAGCUGACCAUAUGGGGUUGCACGAAAAUCCCACCACUACGGUGCCUGCCCAAGCUCACAUCUCUUCGAAGCUUGGUAAUAAAGGAUUGUCCUGGAAUCCGAGUCCUACCAUCUUGUCUGCUACUAUCCACGCUCAAGUCCUUGGUGGUUGAUAGUUGUGAGGACCUAAUAUUUUUGUGGUUGGCGCAGUUGAGCCGAUAUGCAUUUGAGGAGCUGCAGCUUGUUAAUUGCCCUAAGCUCGAACGGGUAGAAGGGCUGAAUUAUCGUUUCCUCACAAACAUAUUAAGAAUAGAACGUUGCCCUCGACUCCAGCUUCCACAAGAUGAUCUGCACGAGCUCAUAUCUCUUCGAAGCUUGGUUAUAAAGGACUGUCCUGGAGUUCGAGUCUUGCAAGAUAGACUGCUCCCAUCCACACUCAAGUCUUUGGUGGUUGAUAGUUGUGAGAACCUAACAUUUUUGCGGCUGGCGCAGCCGAGCCGAUAUGCAUUUGAGAAGUUGCAACUUGUAAAUUGCCCUAAGCUUGAACGGGUAGAAGGGCUGAAUUGUUGUUUCCUCGCAAAAAUCUUAAGAAUAGAACGAUGCCCUCGACUCCAGCUUCCACAAGAUGAUCACCAUCCAUCUAUUCCUCCACGUGUCGAAGAUCAGCUAUGCCUGACGAAGUGGAAAUUGUUGAUUGCCCUGGAUUGAGUAACUGGUGCCAAAUACAAAGAAUCAACUGCAUUCAGAUACCCUCCAUCCCAAUUUUCAAGUGCUCCAAUUGAUCACUUGAAGACUUAUACAAUUGUACAUUCUCAGAUUGUUUGUUUUAAAUCUUCUGUAUGAAACACAAGCACCAACAAAGUUCUCUAAUUGUCUUUUGCUAAUGUACCAGGUCGUUUCAGGCAACAAGCUGAGUACAUCGAACACAUGGGAGAAAAUAAUGCAGUGGUUUGAUGAUUUGACAUCUGUGGAGCAUCUUUGCUUCAGUAAUUCUUGGAAACUCUUUCGGCUAAGAGACUCCAUACGUGUACCUGAAGAGUUGACCAUAUGGGGUUGCACAAAACUCCCACCACUAUGGUGUCUGCCCAAGCUCACAUCUCUUCGAAGCUUGGUAAUAAAGGACUGUCCUAGAGUCCGAGUCUUGGAAGAUAAACUGUUCCCAUCCACGCUCAAGUCCUUGGUGGUUGAUAGUUGUGAGGGCCUAACGUUUUUGCUGUUGGCGCAGCAGAACCGAUAUGAAUUUGAGGAGCUGCAGCUUGUGAAUUGCCCUAAGCUCAAACGGGUACGAGGGCUGAAUUGCAUUGUUUCUCCAAAAAUUUUAAGAAUAGAACGAUGCCCUCAACUCCGGCUUGCACAAGAUGAUCUGUUCGAGCUCAUAUCUCUUCGAAGCUUGGUGAUAAAGGACUGUCUUGGAGUCCGAGUCUUGCAAGAUAGACUGCUCCCAUCCACGCUCAAGUCUUUGGUGAUUGAUAGUUGUGAGGAGCUAACAUUUUUACGAUUGGCGCAGCCUAGCCGAUAUACAUUUGAGGAGCUGCAGCUUGUAAAUUGCCCUAAGCUCGAAUGGGUAGAUGGGUUGAAUUGUCGUUUUCUCGCAAAAAUCUUAAAAAUAGAACGAUGCCCUCAACUUCGGCUUCCACAAGAUGAUCGGCAGCCAUCUAUUCCUCCACAUGUCGAAGAUCAGCUCUCAUCUAUGCCUGACGAAGUGGAAAUUGUUGAUUGCCCUAGAUUGAGUAAUUGGUGCCAAAUACAUAGAAUCAACUGCAUCCAGGUCGCUUCAGGCAAUAAGCUGACUACAUCGAACACAUGGGAGAAGAUAAUGCAUGGGUUUGAUAAUUUGACAUCUGUUGAGCAUCUUUGUUUCAGUAAUUCUUGGGAACUCUUUCUGCGAAGAGACUCCAUACCCGUACUUGAAGAGCUGACAAUAUGGGGUUGCACGAAAAUCCCACCACUACGGUGCCCGCCCAAGCUCACAUCUCUUCGAAGCUUGGUUAUAAAGGACUGCCCUGGAAUUCGAGUCUUGGAAGAUAAACUGUUCCCAUCCACGCUUAAGUCCUUGGUGGUUGAUAGUUGUGAGGGCUUAACGUUUUUGCUGUUGGCGCAGCAAAACCAAUAUGAAUUUGAGGAGCUGCAGCUUGUGAAUUGCCCUAAGCUCAAACGGGUGCGUGGGCUAAAUUUCAUUGUUUACCCAAAAAUCUUAAGAAUAGAACGAUGCCCUCAACUCCGACUUCCACAAGAUGAUCUGUCCGAGCUCAUAUCUCUUCGAAGCUUGGUGAUAAAGGACUGUCCUGGAGUUCGAGUCUUGCAAGAUAAACUGCUCCCAUCCACGCUCAAGUCCUUGGUGGUUGAUAGUUGUGUGGAGCUAAGAUUUUUGCGGUUGAAGCAUUGGAACCGAGAUGCAUUUGAGGAGCUGCAGCUUGUGAAUUGCCCUAAGCUCGAACUGGUGGAAGGGUUGAAUUGCCUUCUCCACACAAAAAUUUUAAGAAUAGAACGAUGCCCUCGACUCCGGCUUCCACAAGCUGAUCUGCCCGAGCUUAUAUCUCUUUGAAGCUUGGUUAUAAAGGACUGUCCUGGAGUUCGAGUCAUGCAAGAUAGACUGCUUCCAUCCAUGCUCAAGUCCUUGGUGGUUGAUAGUUAUGAAGAGCUGACAUUUUUGCGGUUGAUGCAGAAGAACCGAUAUGCAUUUGAGGAGCUGUAGCUUGUCAAUUGCCCUAAGCUCAAACGGGUGGAAGGGCUGAAUUACCUUUUCCUCACAAAAAUCUUAAGAAUAGAACGAUGCUCUCGACUCCGGCUUCCACAAGAUGAUCAACUCUCAUCUAUGCCUUACACAGUGAAAAUUGUUGAUUGCCCUGGAUUGAGUAACUAGUGCCAAAUACAAAGAAUCAACUGCAUUCAGGUCACUUCAGGCAACAAGCUGACUAUAUCAAACACAUAAGAGAACAUAAUGCAUCUGUUUGCUGAUUUGACAUCCAUCGAGCAUCUUUGCUAUAGUAAUUCUUGGGAACUCUUUCUGCAAAGAGACUCCAUACUCGUUCUUGAAGAGCUGACCAUAUGGGGUUGCACGAAAAUUCCACCACUGCGGUGCCUGCCCAAGCUCACAUCUCUUUGAAGAUUGGUUAUAAAGGACUGCCCUGGAGUCCGAAUCUUAAAAGAUAGACUGUUCCCAUCCAUGCUCAAGUCCUUGGUGGUUGAUAGUUGUGAGGGCCUAAUAUUUUUGCUGUUGGCACAGCAGAACCGAUAUGAAUUUGAAGAGCUGCAGCUUGUGAAUUGCCCCAAGCUCAUAUGGGUGGAAGGGCUGAAUUGCCUUUUCUUCCCAAAAAUCUUAAGAAUAGAAUGAUGCCCUCAACUCCCGCUUCCAGAAGAUGAUCGGCAACCAUCUAUUCCUCCACGUGACGAAAUUGCAGAGAAAACGGAGAACAAAGAAACAAUUGAUGAUGGAACCCAAGAGAAACAAGUGUUGGAUUGUGUGAUGAUUGAGCAUGCUAACAGUGCAAAACCAUUGGACCUGGUGUUGGACCCACGCCGCUGGAGCAGAAGGCCGCAUCGUCGGAGUAGGAGGCGGACGACCACCUUCAGAUCAGGUGAUCAAGGAUUUGUCAUCCGGACGUAAGAAAUUGGAAAGCAUAUUACAUUGAAUAAAACUACUAGGAGCAGGGAGCUUGGUGUUAUUCAGGGUUGGGGUAACUGAAAAUAUUAUGUAAUAAUUAAAUAUUAGAAGCUCUGUACUGUUCCAACUUCAUGAACAAUGUUAUGACAUUAGUAAAUGAAACUAUUUAUUUUCAUUAUGAAAUUUUAAGUGGCUUCGUGUUAUUGUGUGCAUAAGAUUGCAAUAGCACGGCCGUGUCAUGAUCCGGAUUUAGGGCGUGACAAGUUCUUGCAAAAUAGAAUAGAAAAGGUGACAAAUUUGGAUAUGUAUGCUACGACAAAUUAUUUGUUUUUUGCUAUAGCUUGAAACAAAUGGCAAUUAAAGAUAAGAUUCAUAAAGCUGACUCUAAUUACAUGGUAAGUCUUGUUGCUUGUGGCUAUGCACAUAUCCUAUUCUCUAUGGAUGCAUCCUUUUCCAUGCCUAUUGAAGAGCUUAUAAUGAGUCACUAGCUUCACUGUAUACCUCAGCAAAGUUGCAUAUAGAUAUAUUGGUUUUGAAAGAUUACAUCCAUUUAAAAUGAAUCCCUAGAGAGUUAUACUCUAAUAAGUAACUUGUCGUGAUGGUAAUUUUUUUGUCUGACCCAUUCGACCAACCCUCUCCGAUCCAUCAGACCUUUUAAGCUCUGUAUAUAGAUAUUCCCUAACUUUUAACUUCUUUGGCUUGAAUGUGCUCCAAAAUUAAAAGUUCAUGCCUUUCUUCCUAUCUUUUUCGACCAUCUGGAUGUAUAAUUCAUUUGUCUGAUGUUGUUUAGAUGAUCGCAUGCGUGAAUUUGUCAUGCAUUACUGUCUUUGGCUUUUUUAAUGAUUAUUUUAUUGAAGAACAAAAAUGAUUAUUUCUUGUGCAAAAUCAUGCCGAUGCUUGGCAUUGCAUUCAUAGACUAGAACUCCAAGUGCAGAAACAUAAGAAAAGCCAUGAAGGUGUUUCAGAGUAUGAGGGAGGUUUAAAAUUUUUUUCCCUUUCUGAAUAUAAAUAACUUACGCCGUCAUUUGAAAUCUGGUGCGCCUUCCACCUUCCUUCACUUUUCUACCUGAAAAAUUUGCAUGUUGGAAAGAGGAAGACAAGAGUCAUUGGAAGUAACAUUUUUAGAUCAUAUGCUGUGUAACUUCAUAGGAAGAAUACCUUUCGGAUCUCUGCUGAACUAUGAUAUUGAAGAAUAGUCAUAUUGAUAUGGAACAAUGGAACUAUCCCUAUCUCACCCCAAACCAUUAUUUAACUUUCUAAAAGGAAUUGCUGGUCACAUCAAAGCAGAAAUGCUGCAACAUAAAGAUCGAUAUAUGCUUUUUAUUGUUAAGAGCUUAGAAAUCGAAUCAUAUGGCAAUUUAAUUGUGAAAUGGUAAAAGAUUGAUAAGGUGAACUGUUUAUGGGAAUGGUUUAUAAGUAACUAUACAUUGGAUUCAAAAUUUUUUUAAAAGCACUGUAGCUUGGGAACAUGACAGAUUGUGAUCACACCGAUAGAUAAUCAUCGUGCUUAGACUGGGUAUGUUGUAUAGUACAUAAAUAUUAACUCUUAAAUCCAGGGUUGCCUUGGCAUGAUGGAUUACAUCAGCAUCUGAGGUAUAGAGAAAACAUUGACACAUUAGCAAGAGUGUUAGAAGAACUAAGACCAACUUAAUAAUAGGGAAGUGCUUAAUAGACCCACUAAUGGUGCUAUGUGAUGCAUUAAACCUUCUUUCAUAGUAAUAAAAGUUUUAAACCUUUGAUUCAUUUUUAGUGAUGUAAAAGAUGCACUUUAAAUUUAUAAACAGAGAUGUGUUUUUAAGCCAAUGGGAGAUCAGGCAGCAGCAAUGAAAUCUCUAUGUGGACUAUAUUCAGGUUUGAAACUAGUGCAACUUGGGACUUAGACUGCAAAUUGCUGCCACCAUCCUAUAUUCAACAGAAUAGAACGGAGAAUCUUAUCUACUUUUCUGAGAUGCCAAUCCUUCUUUUUAGUAAUUACAUCCCAAUCAUUGUUGUAAGAGCCAUAAAUUUGAUGUUUACUGGGAAAUUAGUAACACAUAGAUAAUUCAACAUGCUUUCCUGGUGAGAAUAACAACUGGUGGUCAAGAAUGGAAAUAAAAUUCUAGUUUUAUACCACACUUCCAAAAAUACCCACUGCAUUAUAUGUUUCUCUUGACAUAAAACAUGAACAUAAUUUCCAAAUAAACAAAUAAAAUAACUCCCUUAUCCAAGGAAAUAUCUAGUUAAUAAUUGAUAUCCAGAAUCAUUAUUUUGCCUACCUGAAAUGCUGGCUUGCUUGCCGGUCACCAUUACAAUCUACUAGAGUUUUGGAUGUACAAUGCAUAUCUUUGGAGAUAGAUUUAACAAUUGCACUGUGUGAAUUUAGGUUUUCCAUGAAGUGAAAAGUAAGCUUUCACCUUGGAAUUGCCUGCUGUACAUGGUAGACUUUGAGAUUUGAAUGCAAUUUCUUAAUGUAGUUACUUGUGUAUUGAUUAUCACAUGAUAUAUUUCUGAAUCUUAGAGUCCACCAUGUCUUUUGUUUUUUUAAAGUAAUAUGAAAAUAUCCAAGAUUCGAAUGCUGUAACUCCUGGAGAGUAAGCCCUCAGGAGUGAGGUGCCAAUGGACUAUGUUAAAAGUUGUUGACAGUCUGCCAUGCAUAUUAGAUACAUCCGAAAUAGAAAGUUAGUUUCCUCUUCAUCAAGGACCUAGGCUGCACUAAUUGCACUUUAUAUUGUUCGGACAUUGCCGUUACAAAUUCUAAUAUAGGUCGCUUUAUGCCAUGAUUACAA